rnacentral:rRNA from 1 species
AGAUUAAGUUAUUAAGGGCGCACGGUGGAUGCCUUGGCACUAGAAGCCGAUGAAGGACGUUACUAACGACGAUAUGCUUUGGGUAGCUGUAAGUAAGCGUUGAUCCAGAGAUUUCCGAAUGGGGGAACCCAGCAUGAGUUAUGUCAUGUUAUCGACAUGUGAAUUCAUAGCAUGUCAGAAGGCAGACCCGGAGAACUGAAACAUCUUAGUACCCGGAGGAAGAGAAAGAAAAAUCGAUUCCCUGAGUAGCGGCGAGCGAAACGGGAAGAGCCCAAACCAACAAGCUUGCUUGUUGGGGUUGUAGGACACUCUAUACGGAGUUACAAAAGAACAUGUUAGACGAAUCAUCUGGAAAGAUGAAUCAAAGAAGGUAAUAAUCCUGUAGUCGAAAACAUAUUCUCUCUUGAGUGGAUCCUGAGUACGACGGAGCACGUGAAAUUCCGUCGGAAUCUGGGAGGACCAUCUCCUAAGGCUAAAUACUCUCUAGUGACCGAUAGUGAACCAGUACCGUGAGGGAAAGGUGAAAAGUACCCCGGAAGGGGAGUGAAAGAGAACUUGAAACCGUGUGCUUACAAGUAGUCAGAGCCCGUUAAUGGGUGAUGGCGUGCCUUUUGUAGAAUGAACCGGCGAGUUACGAUCUGAUGCAAGGUUAAGCAGCAAAUGUGGAGCCGCAGCGAAAGCGAGUCUGAAUAGGGCGUUGAGUAUUUGGUCGUAGACCCGAAACCAGGUGAUCUACCCUUGGUCAGGUUGAAGUUCAGGUAACACUGAAUGGAGGACCGAACCGACUUACGUUGAAAAGUGAGCGGAUGAACUGAGGGUAGCGGAGAAAUUCCAAUCGAACUUGGAGAUAGCUGGUUCUCUCCGAAAUAGCUUUAGGGCUAGCCUCAAGUGAUGAUUAUUGGAGGUAGAGCACUGUUUGGACGAGGGGCCCCUCUCGGGUUACCGAAUUCAGACAAACUCCGAAUGCCAAUUAAUUUAACUUGGGAGUCAGAACAUGGGUGAUAAGGUCCGUGUUCGAAAGGGAAACAGCCCAGACCACCAGCUAAGGUCCCAAAAUAUAUGUUAAGUGGAAAAGGAUGUGGCGUUGCCCAGACAACUAGGAUGUUGGCUUAGAAGCAGCCAUCAUUUAAAGAGUGCGUAAUAGCUCACUAGUCGAGUGACACUGCGCCGAAAAUGUACCGGGGCUAAACAUAUUACCGAAGCUGUGGAUUGUCCUUUGGACAAUGGUAGGAGAGCGU